rnacentral:lncRNA from 1 species
CUGCUACUUUAUUUAUAACAUCAAAGUCAUGAGACAUGAAACUGGUUUGGAGUUCUUCAGACACUGAAUGAAUUUGAAUCGAGUCCUUUCGUGUACAAGAGGGUCACUUUUAUUCUCACAAAAACACAACAGGAAGGUACAAAAGCAGCGGUCUGUUAAGUACCAUAGUUGAUUUUCUCACAAAAAGCAGCAACAGUUCUUUCAAUACAUAGAAUUGGCAUAGCAUUUGCACUGUUAGUUGGUCUUUAACAUUCAUACUAUGUUACUUCACCAUUCUUCUUCAGUACUCACAAACAACACUUAUCUCACACCGCAAGCAUCACUCUCAGAAUAACAGUGGUUGCUCUUCAAUAUUUUAAUCUCUUGUUCUUUACAUUAACGUUGACAGUAAAAUGGGUCUUGACCGACCUUGUUGCACAUGAUACAAAAUCUAUUGUCCUGUACCAUGUUUGAUCUAACAUACACAGAGUUAUACAGUAGAGUUAUUCACAGAAGUAACAGAACCUUUCGUCAUCCCAGCGUGCAAAUUCCAGGAACGUACAGUAUGUGCAUGCUGUUUUGGAUUACAUUCCUCUCAACAAAAUAGAAAAGAAAUUCACACAAAAAUCCAUAGGAGUAACAUAUUUUCUGUCUAUGUACAUGAUUUAUAACACCUACAGACGACCUCCAACAACCAUACAUUCAUCAUGAAACCAUAUUGGACAUAGUAUAUUUUUUACUUGUAAUUACAAUAGAAGAAGAGAGUUGUGGGUAGUCGUCAGUGAGUACUUGUAAAGAGGGAUGAGGAAAUGUGCUCUCUCUGUAUUUCUUUCUUCCCCUCUCCCUCUAUCCGUUCCAGUUGGGUGGAAUGCUACUGUAAGUAGUUGACAACCCUUCCUCAUUUAUUUCUAUUGGGAGAGUCUGUCGUUUCUCAAACAAGACUCCCAAAAGUUUCCGUUUUUUUUUUGUUUUACUGCAUGUCUUCUUUGUAUUCUGCCAUGAAUCAAAUGAAUCUAUGACAAGAAAUUAUAUUAACAAUGUGUUCAAUGGUCUAAGUAGUUAGUCAGGAACCAAAACAAUGACAAGAAAAAACUAAACACACAUUCAUAAACUCAUUUACAGAAUGAAUGUAUCUAAAAUGUGGUUAUGAAGCCUCUUUUCAAGUAUAAAAAUACAAAAAUUCUUGAUUAUAUAAAACAUAGACGAAGAUUUGAUUUUGUACAUGAUAUGAUCUCUGCAAACAAUAACUAUCAGGUAAUGCACUAUUUUCUCACAAUAUACUGUAUAUCUGAUAUGAUUUAGAUUAUUCUGAGGUUAAUUACAUGGUCUGCAUUUUCAUUAGCUCUCAUUUCUAUAUUUAAGAUAAAUAAUACAUUAUAUUAAUGUCUAUGAUUUAACAUUGUAUCAUGUCCAGUAAUGUAUAUGUUUUGUGCCAGUGCCAUAUAUUAGUGCACAGAGUCUUUUCGUGGCAAAACGUUGACACUUUCCUCAAGCAAUAUGUCAGACAGCAGAUAACCCUUCAUUGUUUUUUGUGGAAAUCUUCAUAAUGCUGUGGCAAUGAUGACACGCUGGCUAGUGUAUAAAACUGUGCUAAUGUUUACUGUGAGAUUCCAGGAUCAAUAUGUAUUCAAUUUACAACAUUUGGGUGUCAGAAGUGUGAUCCUGUGCUGAAUCUUGUUGUCACCCAUAUUAGCUUCAGUGUUUAUCCCAGUACUUAUACUGACUAUGAUAGCAAAGGAUAAAAGCAGUUCCCCUUGGAACUGGAAAAAGACAAAAUUCCACUCAAAUGACGUCCAUCUCAGCUCCAUAUUAGCCUAAUGCAAUAGGGAGGCUGUGAAAAGGCAGUCAGCAGGUUAUUCCUUUGUAUUCUCCUAUUUUUUAAGGGUUCUAACAGUGUUUUAAGAUCACAUUUGGUUUCCCAGUUCUUUGCACUUAUCUGGUGACCCCUUUCAGAUACAGACAGACAAGUCAAGAGCUACUGUCUUAGUCAUUGAUUAUCUUCCAGCUUCCAUAUGCAUCUAUUUGGCCAAAUGGGGUGCUAUGCAACAGCCAGUGCUGCAGCCCUCUGUAUUUCCCCCGAUUGGCCACAGGGGAUGCUGUGUUCAGCGCAUCAGUCGUCAGGCUCGUGUCGAGAUCAGAGCAUUGUGGCUGCCACUAAGCUGGGCGUAGGCAGAGCUGGAGAAGUGAUGCUGUGAUCAGUACGGCACUGCUGUCAGGGCUUGAGGACGCACAAUCUGUCUUGAUUUAGCUUCCUCACAGUGGUGAGGAGAGGAAGGGGAGUUGGGAGGGGAGAGGAAAGGAAAGGAAGGGGUGAAGUGAGAAGAGGAAAGGAAAUAAGGAUUGAGAGAUGAGAAGAAGAGAGGAAGACGUGGAGGAGGAUAGGAAUAUGGACUAGGCAAUGGGGGAGCUAUAAUGGAGAACUAUGUAAUAGAGUGCAUGCUAUACCUAUUACAUUUUUAGCAGAGGAUAAUAGGCGUUCCAAUAUUAUAUGAUCUUUAUAAGUGAAGGUUGAACUCUACUUUCACCCUGGUUAACCCUAGGCAUACUUUCUUGCUCUGCGAUUGGUCGAUUACGUUUUUGUUUGUACUUCUGCCCUCGGCUGAUGGCAGAGUUUGGAUACAUAUAGGGGGCUAAAAUCAAAAGCUACGAUUGGCCGUUAGCAUCAACCAAACAAUGCUCACUCCGAAACAACACCCAUUUUCAAUGAAUUCGUCCUGUCUGAAACAGUUACGAUGCUUUCUUUGUCCAGACAGUGGGCUGCCUGCCAGACUAAAUGGACUGAUCUGAAUGGCACCUACAGGGGCUUCUCCAUAGAGCCAUGGAGACCCAAACAAACCCUAGGAGAGGAAAGAUGGCGCUGAGCCUGUCUCACUGACUCAUCAAGCUUGAUUUGAUGCCAACGCUAAUGAAUUACCAUUACCUUUAGCGAACAAGCGAUUUCCCCCUCCGGUUAGAUGUCUAUGGGCCCCCACACAGCUGCCACAUUCGUUUAAACUUCCAACCAUUCAACGGGGCAAAAGGAUUAGGGGGACAAACAAGACAAACGCCCAAGAUUAACAACUCAGACCUCCUAUUAAGCCGAGACCAUGUACAAAGGGAGGUAGGAGAAGAGAGAAGAGGAGAGGAGAGGGGAGGCAUACCUUUAAGGAUGCCAAGAGAGCUGGUUGCGCUGAUGUAGAUUUAGAUCAAUGUCAGCCCUGUCUGGCUAUGUUUUCCUCAUGUGUCCUUGGGAGGCCCACUGCUCACAGUGAGAUAGACUGGGUGGGAUGAAGAGCAGUGGAAGACUACACCAGCUUUGGUCAACAUGGGGGAUGGAAUUUCAUAGAAACAGUCUGUACAUUCAGGUGGGGAAAGGGAGGGGCAAUUGGUCAUUGUGAAAGGAGAGAUAGAGACAAAAAUUGGUACAGCAAUUUUGGCAAUCUUUGUAGUCUGAAAAAGGUAUGGGAAAGUAUCAUUGACUUCAGCUUGUGUCAAAUCAAUAGGGACAUGAUCCUCAUCUUUGCCUCAAGGGACACCAGGACAUCUGUGGCUCUUGGGGCCUGUAUCACGAAUAUCCUGUACAAGGACAGGAAGAGACAGGUGUGCCAUCGCUCGCAAGAGAUUGAGGGAAUCUCCCACGAGAGCCUCCAUUCCCCAGAUAAUGCGCAUUAAUGCCAAAAUCAUCCAUUCAGGGACACACAUAAAGCCCACCUGUUCAAGCUUGAUAAAGAGGAGAGUCAUUGUCUGUUGGCAGUCUUUCUGGACAGCUAUUGGAACAGUGAAUGUAGCUAGCGUGGUGUAGUGUGCAUGUCCACACAAUGUCCUCAGGUAUCAAAUAGUAUAAUGCCAACUAAGCCUUUCUGAUCAGAUAACCCCUAGGCAUUCAUAUGUUGUGCACACACAAACUUCACUUCUGUUGAUUUUAACAUUGCCGAUUUUUCAGCAUAUUUUCCCCUCAGGAUAAAAUGAAGGGGGAAAAACAUGUUUACUUUGUGGUACGGUCUUGGUUAAAUCCUAUUGGUUCAAAAUGACCUCGUUGGUUCAUGUCUGAAGCAGUCAUGUAUUGUUGAAAGAAUGAACCUAACAUGAUGCAUUACAGUACACAAAAUAGGCUACGCAUGUGGUUUUAUUUUACCCACACUGUACAUAGAGGUCACAUAUAGUAGACGCAUGUUUGUCCAAUAUAUUCCGCUGACUCCAACAUAUAUUCAUUCAUAUUAUUUGCAUAUGUUAAACAUACAGUUGAACAGGUCUUUUGUUUCUUUGAUCACAGACAGUUCACUACAUUUCACUGACCUAGUUGCCUAUUUGUUUAUAUAUAUAUAUAUACAUACUAC